CGAUCACCGAAGUCAAGCAUCAUUGGGCGCGGUCCGUACUUGGGUGGGUGACCACCUGGGAACACCGCGUGCCGUU